CGCCUAACACAUGCAAGUCGAACGAAGUAGCAAUACUUAGUGGCAGACGGGUGAGUAACAUGUAGGUAUCUGCCCUUUGGCCUGGAAUAACACGAGGAAACUUGUGCUAAUACCGGAUAAGUCUUUACGGAGAAAGCUUUAUGCACCAUUGGAUGAGCCUGCACUUGAUUAGUUUGUUGGUGGGGUAAUGGCCUACCAAGACUGUGAUCAAUAGCUGAUUUGAGAGGAUGAUCAGCCACAUUGGGACUGAGACACGGCCCAAACUCCUACGGGAGGCAGCAGUGGGGAAUCUUGCACAAUGGAGGAAACUCUGAUGCAGCGAUGCCGCGUGAGUGAAGAAGGCCUUUGGGUUGUAAAGCUCUUUCGUCGGGGAAGAAAAUGACUGUACCCGAAUAAGAAGGUCCGGCUAACUUCGUGCCAGCAGCCGCGGUAAUACGAAGGGACCUAGCGUAGUUCGGAAUUACUGGGCUUAAAGAGUUCGUAGGUGGUUGAAAAAGUUGGUGGUGAAAUCCCAGAGCUUAACUCUGGAACUGCCAUCAAAACUUUUCAGCUAGAGUUUGAUAGAGGAAAGCAGAAUUUCUAGUGUAGAGGUGAAAUUCGUAGAUAUUAGAAAGAAUACCAAUUGCGAAGGCAGCUUUCUGGAUCAUUACUGACACUGAGGAACGAAAGCAUGGGUAGCGAAGAGGAUUAGAUACCCUCGUAGUCCAUGCCGUAAACGAUGUGUGUUAGACGUUGGAAAUUUAUUUUCAGUGUCGCAGCGAAAGCGAUAAACACACCGCCUGGGGAGUACGACCGCAAGGUUAAAACUCAAAUGAAUUGACGGGGACCCGCACAAGUAGUGGAGCAUGUGGUUUAAUUCGAAGAUACGCGCAGAACCUUACCAACACUUGACAUGUUCGUCGCGACUCUAAGAGAUUAGAGUUUUCGGUUCGGCCGGACGAAACACAGGUGCUGCAUGGCUGUCGUCAGCUCGUGUCGUGAGAUGUUGGGUUAAGUCCCGCAACGAGCGCAACCCUCACUUUUAGUUGCCAUCAUUAAGUUGGGCACUCUGAAAGAACUGCCAGUGAUAAGCUGGAGGAAGGUGGGGAUGACGUCAAGUCCUCAUGGCCCUUACGUGUUGGGCUACACACGUGCUACAAUGGUAUCUACAACAGGAAGCAAGACUGCGAAGUUAAGCAAAUCCCUAAAAGAUACCUCAGUUCGGAUUGCACUCUGCAACUCGAGUGCAUGAAGCUGGAAUUACUAGUAAUCGUGGAUCAGCGUGCCACGGUGAAUGCGUUCCCGGGUCUUGUACACACCGCCCGUCACACCAUGGGAGUUGGUUCUACCUUAAGGCAAGGUUUCAAACCCUUGACCACGGUAUAGUCAGCGA
rnacentral:rRNA from 1 species